GACUCUCGGCAACGGAUAUCUCGGCUCUCGCAUCGAUGAAGAACGUAGCGAAAUGCGAUACUUGGUGUGAAUUGCAGAAUCCCGUGAACCAUCGAGUCUUUGAACGCAAGUUGCGCCCGAAGCCAUCAGGCCGAGGGCACGCCUGCCUGGGCGUCACAC
rnacentral:rRNA from 9 species